UGGGGAAUAUUGCACAAUGGGCGCAAGCCUGAUGCAGCCAUGCCGCGUGUGUGAAGAAGGCCUUCGGGUUGUAAAGCACUUUCAGCGGGGAGGAAGGCGUUAAGGUUAAUAACCUUGGCGAUUGACGUUACCCGCAGAAGAAGCACCGGCUAACUCCGUGCCAGCAGCCGCGGUAAUACGGAGGGUCCAAGCGUUAAUCGGAAUUACUGGGCGUAAAGCGCACGCAGGCGGUCUGUCAAGUCGGAUGUGAAAUCCCCGGGCUCAACCUGGGAACUGCAUUCGAAACUGGCAGGCUAGAGUCUUGUAGAGGGGGGUAGAAUUCCAGGUGUAGCGGUGAAAUGCGUAGAGAUCUGGAGGAAUACCGGUGGCGAAGGCGGCCCCCUGGACAAAGACUGACGCUCAGGUGCGAAAGCGUGGGGAGCAAACAGG
rnacentral:rRNA from 1 species